rnacentral:ribozyme from 1 species
GCCGGCCAGCAACAACAACAACAACAACAACGAACACGUCGAUGACGUUUGGGAGACACUGGCGGGGUGCGGUUCCCUCCGAGAACUGCAUUUAAUGGACAACGAAUUGACGGAUCGUUCCUGCUUGGAUUUGGCACAGGCCUUGUUG